rnacentral:rRNA from 1 species
GACGAACGCUGGCGGCGUGCUUAACACAUGCAAGUCGAACGGAAAGGCCCUGCUUUUGUGGGGUGCUCGAGUGGCGAACGGGUGAGUAACACGUGAGUAACCUGCCCUUGACUUUGGGAUAACUUCAGGAAACUGGGGCUAAUACCGGAUAGGAGCUCCUGCUGCAUGGUGGGGGUUGGAAAGUUUCGGCGGUUGGGGAUGGACUCGCGGUUUAUCAGCUUGUUGGUGGGGUAGUGGCUUACCAAGGCUUUGACGGGUAGCCGGCCUGAGAGGGUGACCGGCCACAUUGGGACUGAGAUACGGCCCAGACUCCAACGGUGGGCAGCAGUGGGGAAUAUUGCACAAUGGGCGGAAGCCUGAUGCAGAAACGCCGCGUGCGGGAUGACGGCCUUCGGGUUGUAAACCGCUUUCGCCUGAUACGAAGCGUGAGUGACGGUAAUGGGUAAAUAAGCACCGGCUAACUACGUG